CAGUCGCCGCGGUAAUACGAAGGGUGCAAGCGUUACUCGGAAUUACUGGGCGUAAAGCGUGCGUAGGUGGUGGUUUAAGUCCGUUGUGAAAGCCCUGGGCUCAACCUGGGAAUUACAGUGGAUACUGGGUCACUAGAGUGUGGUAGAGGAUAGUGGAAUUUCCGGUGUAGCAGUGAAAUGCGUAGAGAUCGGAAGGAACAUCUGUGGCGAAGGCGACUAUCUGGGCCAACACUGACACUGAGGCACGAAAGCGUGGGGAGCAAACAGGAUUAGAGACCCCUGUAGUCCCUGUCUCUUAUAC
rnacentral:rRNA from 1 species